rnacentral:rRNA from 1 species
AGUGAACGCUGGCGGUAGGCCUAACACAUGCAAGUCGAACGGCAGCACAGUAAGAGCUUGCUCUUACGGGUGGCGAGUGGCGGACGGGUGAGGAAUACAUCGGAAUCUACUUUUUCGUGGGGGAUAACGUAGGGAAACUUACGCUAAUACCGCAUACGACCUACGGGUGAAAGCAGGGGAUCUUCGGACCUUGCGCGAUUGAAUGAGCCGAUGUCGGAUUAGCUAGUUGGCGGGGUAAAGGCCCACCAAGGCGACGAUCCGUAGCUGGUCUGAGAGGAUGAUCAGCCACAGUGGAAGUGAGACACGGUCCAGACUCCUACGGGAGGUAGCAGUGGGGAAUAUUAGACAAUGGGCGCAAGCCUGAUCCAGCCAUACCGCGUGGGUGAAGAAGGCCUUCGGGUUGUGAAGCCCUUUUGUUGGGAAAGAAAAGCAGCAGGUUAAUACCCCGCUGUUCUGACGGUACCCAAAGAAUAAGCACCGGCUAACUUCGUG